UGACCGGGNNGAGCUCANAUUUGANUCUGGCGUCUUUCAGGCGUCCGAGUUGUAAUCUAUAGAGGCGUUUUCCGCGCCGGACCGCGUCCAAGUCUCUUGGAAUAGAGUAUCAAAGAGGGUGACAAUCCCGUACUUGACGCGACAACCGGUGCUCUGUGAUACGUUCUCAAUGAGUCGAGUUGUUUGGGAAUGCAGCUCUAAAUGGGUGGUAAAUUCCAUCUAAGGCUAAAUAUUGGCGAGAGACCGAUAGCGAACAAGUACCGUGAGGGAAAGAUGAAAAGCACUUUGGAAAGAGAGUUAAACAGCACGUGAAAUUGUUAAAAGGGAAACGAUUGAAGUCAGUCGUGUGGGAAGUAUUCAGCCGUCUCUGGCGGUGUAUUUGCUUCUCACGGGUCAACAUCAGUUUGAUCCGGUAGAAAAAGGCGGGAAGAAGGUGGCACCCUCGGGUGUGUUAUAGCUUCCUGUCAUAUGUGCCGGACCAGACUGAGGAACGCAGCUUGCAGCAAUGCCGGGGUUCGCCCACGUACAAGCUUAGGAUGUUGACAUAAUGGCUUNNNNNNACCCGUCUUGAAACACGG
rnacentral:rRNA from 1 species